UGAGGCCUUCGGACUGGCCUAGGGAGGGUGGAAACACCCACCCGGGGCUGGAAAGUUGUUCAAACUUGGUCAUUUAGAGGAAGUAAAAGUCGUAACAAGGUUUCCGUAGGUGAACCUGCGGAAGGAUCAUUACCGAGCUCCUGCCCUUCGGGGUAGAGACGCCACCCGUGUACACCAGACCGACGUUGCUUUGGCGGGCCCGCGCCCGCCAGAGACCCCAAACCCUGAGUGUUAGUGUCGUCAGAGUACUAUCUAAUAGUUAAAACUUUCAACAACGGAUCUCUUGGUUCUGGCAUCGAUGAAGAACGCAGCGAAAUGCGAUAAGUAAUGUGAAUUGCAGAAUUCAGUGAAUCAUCGAAUCUUUGAACGCACAUUGCGCCCCUCGGUAUUCCGGGGGGCAUGCCUGUUCGAGCGUCAUAUUAGCCAAUCCAGCCCCGCUGGGUCUUGGGCUCGCCAGCACGGCGGGCCCCAAAGCUAGUGGCGGUGCCGCCCGGCUCCUGAGCGUAGUACAACCCCUCGCUACAGGUCCCAGGCGCGCGCCCGCCAGCAACCCCUUUCUACGGUUGACCUCGGAUCAGGUAGGGAUACCCGCUGAACUUAAGCAUAUCAAUAAGCGGAGGAAAAGAAACCAACAGGGAUUACCUCAGUAACGGCGAGUGAAGCGGUAACAGCUCAAAUUUGAAAUCUGGCCCGGUUCCGGGCCCGAGUUGUAAUUUGUAGAGGAUGCUUCGGCGUAGGCCCCGCCCAAAGUUCCUUGGAACGGGA
rnacentral:rRNA from 1 species